UAGUUAAUAAUUAUUUAAUGA
rnacentral:piRNA from 1 species